AAGACGAACGCUGGCGGCGUGCUUAACACAUGCAAGUCGAGCGGAAAGGCUCCUUUCGGGGGGUACUCGAGCGGCGAACGGGUGAGUAACACGUGAGUAACCUGCCCUGGACUUUGGGAUAACCCUCGGAAACGGGGGCUAAUACCGGAUAUGACACGCGGAUGCAUGUUUGUGUGUGGAAAGAUUUUUGGUCUGGGAUGGGCUCGCGGCCUAUCAGCUUGUUGGUGGGGUGAUGGCCUACCAAGGCGACGACGGGUA
rnacentral:rRNA from 1 species